rnacentral:rRNA from 1 species
CUAACAAGGAUUCCCCUAGUAACUGCGAGUGAAGCGGGAAAAGCUCAAAUUUGUAAUCUGGCGGUCUUGGGCCGUCCGAAUUGUAAACUAGAGAAGUGUUAUCCGCGCUGGACCGUGUACAAGUCCCCUGGAAUGGGGCGUCAUAGAGGGUGAGAAUCCCGUCUUUGACACGGACUACCAGGGCUUUGUGAUGCGCUCUCAAAGAGUCGAGUUGUUUGGGAAUGCAGCUCAAAAUGGGUGGUAAAUUCCAUCUAAAGCUAAAUAUUGGCGAGAGACCGAUAGCGAACAAGUACCGUGAGGGAAAGAUGAAAAGAACUUUGGAAAGAGAGUUAAACAGUACGUGAAAUUGCUGAAAGGGAAACGCUUGAAGUCAGUCGCGUUGACUAGGGAUCAGCCUUACUUCUGUGGGGUGUACUUCCUUGUUGACGGGUCAGCAUCAGUUUUGGCUGCUGGAUAAAGGCUAGGGGAAUGUGGCAUCUUCGGAUGUGUUAUAGCCCUUGGUUGGAUACAGUGGCUGGGACUGAGGAACUCAGCACGCGCAAGCUGUGCUUAGGAUGCUGGCAAAAUGGCUUUAAUCGACCCGUCUUGAAACACGGACCAAGGAGUCUAACAUGCCUGCGAGUGUUUGGGUGGAAAACCCGAGCGCGUAAUGAAAGUGAAAGUUGGGAUCCCUGUCGCGGGGAGCACCGACGCCCGGAGCAGAACUUUUGGGACGCAUCCGCGGU